GUUUUAAAUCUAGUUAACUACUGCGUUAUAAUUUAUUAUAUUCUAUUCACAGGGCUUCAUUAUUUCAAAAAUGUUGUGCUAGUGGGAUCCCUACAGGAUCGCUAUGUUCCUUAUCACUCUGCCCGUAUUGAAAUGUGUAAAACAGCUUUAAAGGACAAACAGUCAGGACAGAUCUAUUCAGAAAUGAUCCACAACUUGCUUCAACCUGUUCUGCAAAGCAAGGACUGUAAUUUGGUUCGCUACAAUGUCAUCAAUGCAUUGCCCAAUACAGCUGAUUCACUCAUUGGGAGAGCUGCACAUAUAGCUGUUCUUGAUUCGGAAAUAUUUUUAGAGAAAUUCUUUCUGGUUGCUGCCCUCAAAUAUUUCCAAUAGUAUAAAAGCAUUGUUAGCGACUGGACAAUUACCUCAUUCAACAAUGUUUCAAAUAAUGUAUUAUAUUAAAAUGUAGAUGCUGAUAAGUUCUAAGAAAUAUUUAUACUUUUUAUAUGGAAGAUAAUUUAUAUCAUCCAUGUUUAGUGCUUUUUAAACAUCAACUUUACUUUCUAGGUAAUGUGGCUGUGCAAUAUUUUUUUAAUUUUAUCUUUUUACUUUUCUAUUACUUUUUCAUAUAUUUUGCUACCUAAGUAUUUCAGUGAAACUUUAAGCCCAUACCUAUGUCUGAUUGUUUAUUAUUGGCUUUCCACAAUUCUUACAUCAGACUACCUUAUAUUAGAGACCAUUAUUGCUAGAAUAGCAUGGGAUUUAAAAUUUUCUAAUACUGGGGGUAUUAUUUAGUUAAUUAUAAAUUUUUCUUUUCACGUUUUACUGUGUUUUAACUGGAAAUAAAAUUAUGGCUGCUACAAUAUAUUUUUUGAAAUCAACUUCUGUAGUUCUAAAAUACACCUUUAUCAUACAAUCAAACCAGGUAGUUCAUAUAUGACAGUGUCAUAAAAGUUUUCUAUAAAGUCAUUACUGUUGCUUAAACAUAUUUCAUGCCUAUUAAAAUAUAUUUUCUACUGGUGAUUUCAACAUUAUUUCUCAUACUGACUUUUAUUACUGGAAAUGUUCCUGUUCAUGUUGGCAGCAGAUAAAGAUUUUUGAAUGUUUGAAUGCCCUCUGCCUUGAUUUGGUUGGAAUUUUUGCUAAAUUGGUAAUGUUGCUUGAACUUUAUGACUACAUUUUCUUUUAACUUUUUUCAUGGACUUCCUUAUAUGUACAUAAUAAUUAAAUGUUGAAAUUUAUGAAAUACUUUUAUGAAUUUAGAUAAUUUUUAAAUAUUGUUAAAAUUUAUUGAACUAAAAAGUAAUGUAAAUAAAAUAAUUCAUGUUAAAGAUGGAACAAAAUAAUUAACUUUACAUGUUUGGUGAUACAGAUGCAAAUGUUUUUGAUAUAUGGAGAUGUUGAGUUUUUUGACUUUACUAUAAAGGUGCUGAAUAGCAUUAAAUUCACUAUUUUCCUUUUCUGUUUUACUUGUGAAAAUAAAAAUGCACUAAGGUUGGGUAGAAGUUCUGUUUGCACUCACUAAUUGUGACAGACAGAGGUUUUUGUAAGUAUUUAUUGUACCAUUGAUGCAUGUUUAUUUUUAGCGUUGUGUUAUUGCCUCUGGUGUUAAUAAAUGAACAAAUGGCUAUCUGGAGGAACAGCUA
rnacentral:sRNA from 1 species